GACGAACCGGACAAACGUUAUUCGGAAUUACUGGGCUUAAAGGGUUUGUAGGCGGCCUUGUAAGUCAGGUGUGAAAUCCCUCGGCUCAACCGAGGAAUAGCGCUUGAUACUGCAAGGCUUGAGGGAGACAGGGGUAAGCGGAACUGAUGGUGGAGCGGUGAAAUGCGUUGAUAUCAGGAAGAACAUCGGUGGCGAAGGCGCUCUGCUGGACCAUAACUGACACUCAGGGACGAAAGCUAGGGGAGCGAAUGGG
rnacentral:rRNA from 1 species